UACGUAGGGGGCAAGCGUUGUCCGGAUUUAUUGGGCGUAAAGAGCUCGUAGGUGGUUCGGUAAGUCGGAUGUGAAAUCUCCAGGCUCAACCUGGAGGGGUCAUUCGAUACUGCCGUGACUAGAGGUCGGUAGGGGAGUGUGGAAUUCCUGGUGGAGCGGUGAAAUGCGCAGAUAUCAGGAAGAACACCCGUGGCUAAGGCGGUUCUCUAGUACGGUACUGACGCUGAGACGCGAAAGCGUGGGGAGCGAACAGG
rnacentral:rRNA from 1 species